rnacentral:rRNA from 1 species
CUUGAACGCUGGCGGCAGGCCUAACACAUGCAAGUCGAGCGGAGCGGCGGACGGGAGAGUACUGCCUAGGAAUCUGCCUGGUAGUGGGGGAUACCGUACGGAAACGGGCGCUAAUACCGCAUACUAUCAGAUGAGCCUCGGGCGGAUUAGCUAGUUGGUGGGGUAAAGGCCUACCAAGGCGAUGAUCCGUAACUGAUCUCAGAGGAGGAUCAGUCACACUGGAACUGAGACACGGUCCAGACUCCUACGUGAGGCAGCAGUUGGGAAUAUUCGGCAAUGGUCGCAAGCCUGAUCCAGCCAUUCCGCGUAUGUGAAGAAGGUCUUCGGAUUGUAAAGCACUUUAAGUUGGGAGGCGUUACCAACAGAAUCAGCACCGGCUAACUUCGUGCCAGCAGCCGCGGUAAUUC